UACGUAGGGUGCAAGCGUUGUCCGGAAUUAUUGGGCGUAAAGAGCUCGUAGGCGGUCUGUCGCGUCGGCUGUGAAAACUCGGGGCUCAACCCCGAGCCUGCAGUCGAUACGGGCAGACUAGAGUGCUGUAGGGGAGACUGGAAUUCCUGGUGUAGCGGUGAAAUGCGCAGAUAUCGAGAGGAACACCGGUGGCGAAGGCGGCUUUCUGGACAGUGACUGACGCUGAGACGCGAAAGCGUGGGGAGCAAACAGG
rnacentral:rRNA from 1 species